rnacentral:rRNA from 1 species
ACCGAGUGAGGGCCCUCUGGGUCCAACCUCCCACCCGUGUCUAUCGUACCUUGUUGCUUCGGCGGGCCCGCCGUUUCGACGGCCGCCGGGGAGGCCUCGCGCCCCCGGGCCCGCGCCCGCCGAAGACCCCAACAUGAACGCUGUUCUGAAAGUAUGCAGUCUGAGUUGAUUAUCAUAAUCAGUUAAAACUUUCAACAACGGAUCUCUUGGUUCCGGCAUCGAUGAAGAACGCAGCGAAAUGCGAUAAGUAAUGUGAAUUGCAGAAUUCAGUGAAUCAUCGAGUCUUUGAACGCACAUUGCGCCCCCUGGUAUUCCGGGGGGCAUGCCUGUCCGAGCGUCAUUGCUGCCCUCAAGCACGGCUUGUGUGUUGGGCCCCGUCCCCUCCCCCGGGGACGGGCCCGAAAGGCAGCGGCGGCACCGCGUCCGAUCCUCGAGCGUAUGGGGCUUUGUCACCCGCUCUGUAGGCCCGGCCGGCGCCAGCCGACACCCAACUUUUAUUUCUAAGGUUGACCUCGGAUCAGGUAGGGAUACCCCGCUGAACUUAAGCAUAUCAAUAAGCGGAAGGAA